rnacentral:rRNA from 1 species
AUGAGGAAUGCUUACACUAUAGGCAUGAGAAGCACACAAUUAAGUGAGAGGUUGAACAGUGACUUGAAAGACCAUCUAAAGUCUGAUCUUGACAUCCUUCGGUUUUUCAAGCACGUAGAGAGGGCUGUGCAAGAGAAAAGAGAUAACGAGGUAAAUGAGGAAUAUGAGUCUAGGAAAAAAUUACCUAGAGUCAGAAUGAGGACUCCUAUGGUAAUACAAGCGAGCAAGGUUUACACACCACGCAUAUUUGAAGAUUUUCAGAAUGAAUAUGAAAGAUCUAUCUCAGCAUACAUCAAGCCAUCGAUAGAACACAAUGCAUAUAUUGUUGCAAUUGCAAGUCUUGACCCAGAAUUCACAUAUGAAGAAGAGUGCAAAGUUGUAGUUGAUUAUGAAGAGCAAAAAGUUUUCUGCGAUUGUGGGCAAUUUGAAAGAGUUGGUAUAUUGUGUAGUCAUGCUUUGAAAGCACUUGAUGUCAUGAAUAUUAAGUACCUUCCAGGCCACUAUAUUUUGAAGCGAUGGAUUCGAGAAGCGCAAAGCGACACUAUACAAAACAGCCAUGGAAACAUUGUUUUGGAAGAUCCUAGAUCAGAAGAUAGACAACAGUUGAAGUUUUUCAUGCACGAGUUCCUUGGCAUAGCUUCACAGGCAGUUACAUCAGAAGAGUGUAUCAAACUAGUAGAUGAUGCUUUGAAGAAUCUUAGGAAGCAAGUUGAAGAGAAAGCUCGUACUACUACAUGCAGAACUGAAGAUAUAUCUAAAGAACCAGACGAUUGUUUAAAGGAUGCUUGCCUCAAGAAAAAGGAAAUUCCAAAGAAAAAUUUAAGAAGAAGGAAAUCAUGGCUUGACAAUCAGCACCCAAAUAAAAAGAAGGAGACAACUAAAGCGGUACCCAAAAAUCAAAAUCAUUCUGUAAAUCUCUUGCACAUGUCUAACCAGACUACUUAUUAA